AUUGAAUAUUAUUAUAGAUAUAGGUAAACUGUAAACAGCAAUAAUGUUCAGCAAAGUAAGAUCUACAAAUAAGUCAACAUGAACGAAAUGGUCAAUUGACCCCUGUAGGAGUUAUUGACCUUUGUAGUCAAUUUUCAAUCUGCUUCCUUUGUUUAAUAUUCACAUAGACCAAGGUGAGCGACACAGGCUCUUUAGAGCCUCUAGUUUUAACACCUAGCCCUAGGUGUGAUGUGAGGUUUUGCCAUCAAUUGGUAAUCAUUUGUCAAUCUCUUUAUCAAAAUGAUUUCCAAUGAAUGCAAUGAGCCAAAUUGGGAAAACUUUGCCCAUAAUUUUCACUAAAGGAGGCUGCCUUCUUUAAAAAUUCUUAACUAAUAAGUUGACAUGGCUUCCAUGACAAAAGUAAUAUAAAGAGAUAAAUCUGACAUGAAAUUCAAAAGAAAUCUACACAAGGCCAUUAAGGGCAUACGAUACAGUUUUGAUCCCGUAUUUAAAGUUUAAUGAAAAUUUCCAUAUUGGCUAUUUUUUACCUGAUUAAAUCAAAUAUGUAAUAAAAAAUAUACCUGCAUGUGCUACUUUUUGAGUGAAAUGAGGUCGAAAUUUUGUACAUUUGCACAAAAUUCGGAUUUGUGGCCGUAUUUCGCCUUUCGAAAGAAAGGCAUAAUUUUUUUGUUUUAAAAGAUAAACACAAAUUGUUUUUGUUAAAUAAUUUGUAAUUUCUGUAUUUUAUAAGUAUCAUAAAAAUUUAUGCAUUUUUUUUUCAGAAAUAACUUAUAUUUAUCAAAUGGUGAUGAAUUGAGAAAAAAAAAAAACGUCAUUUUUGCUGUAUAUUGAUCAAAAUUAAAAAAAAAUUGCACUAUUUACAGUUUUAUAAAAUUUGGUCAACAUAAUCUCCCUGCAAAAUAAAACAAAAUGUUGUUUUAAAAAGUAGGGGUCCAUGCUCUGGUUUUCCAAUUAAAUCCGUUUGAAACUUUGAAUGAUAAAAAUCAGUCGAAAAUGCAUCUUUUACCGAUAUGUCACAGUUUGACGUUGCGAACAUUUUACGUUAGCAACGUCAUUACCUCCCCUGUAACUGUAUCGUAUGCCCUUAAGGUGGUACCUAACACCUUGACUAAAAUUAAUUUGGCUCUUUAAUUUUCAUAAAAAUUUGACGAAAUAUUUAUUCCGAUCAUAUUACAAAAAAUUUUUAAAUUUCAAAAAAUGAACCACACACUUUGUCUGAAAAAUUUUAUUGGAUACAAAGCAAUUUGGAAAAAACUUAUUUUAAUCAUUGAGGAGCUUUUAAAUAGAUUGUGUUUAAAACAUUCAGCUGAUUUUACAGAGUUAUCUCCCUGUAGUGUUAUGUACCACCUUAAAAACUAGUUUUCAGGAGAUCAACAGUUUUCUCUUUUUCAAUAGAGUUUGACGAUUUUAAUAGCAAAAGUGCUUUAAAGAUGUAUAACAUAUUAAAUCUGUUUCCUGGUGAGCAGUAUGAUCUUUUCACCUGUUAAUCAACCAAUCAUACAGAUUUAACUUUGAUCUUCUCACUGAGAAUACCUUUGGAUUCUGUUUACAAAUCUAUAUUUUUUGUUGAAUGAAAAACCAUAAGUACAAAAAAGAACAGAUGUGAAAUUUUAAGGGUUCAUUAUGUCUACUAUUCAAAAUGAUAGAUUGGAGGUUGGGAUACUAUUUGUAUUAAGUCUAAAAUCUAGUCAAGGUUCCUCCCUGCCUCUUAUUUGGAUUUUUUUUCAAGGGGAGGAAGGAAUUAACAUUUUAUGAAGGUGUCUGAUGUUUGAUCAUCGUAUCAACAAACAAAGGUUGAAUUUGUCGCUGUGACAGUCUGGCUGACUGCUAGUAAUCUUUUGCAUCUGAUAUUGUGACCGUAAGAAUAUAGGUACAUUUUAGUAACUUUUCAGCACUGAGCUGUUGUCACAUUCACCAUUAUCCAACGUCCUCCAUCUUUUUAUUAAAAUGUCAAGUUGUGUAUAAGGCUUUAAAAGUAUUGACAUGUUUAGGUGGUUCAAACAUGAAUUUUAGUGCUUGACAAAUAUAUUUUCUGUUUGACAAGUUAAGGCAGCAUGCAUGUUGUAUUUGAUGAAUAUCUGUUAUUGAUACGGUUGAUAAAAUAAUAAAUUUCUCUACAAA
rnacentral:lncRNA from 1 species